rnacentral:ncRNA from 1 species
AAGCGAGGACGACCUCCCCAGACCUCUGGGACGACUGUUCGGGACGACCCGA